GCCCGGGUAGCUCAGCUGGAUAGAGCAGCGCUUUCCUAAAGCGCAGGUCGCACGUUCGAAUCGUGUCCCGGGUG
rnacentral:tRNA from 2 species